CAAACAUUGAAUAUUAUUCUAUCAGGUUCUUAUGGUUUUAGAUCAUUUUAGUUGUUGUACAAAGAUUAAUUUAACAUUUUCUCUGGAAGUAUUAAUUUAGAAAGAUAAUAUGCCUCAUUGGUGUUGUGUUUUGAAGUGUGAAAUGCAAAGUAAUCGUGAUAAAGUUACCUUUUACCACUUACCAUCAGUGCUACAUUCUAAGCACAAAACUGAACCAAUUUAACUAAAUAAGUUAUAGUUAUCAUCUGAGAGACAACAACAAUGGUAAAAUGCAAUAAAAUAUUAAGAUUUUACUAGCAAAAUGGAAAUUCCCCUGUAAUCAUCUUAUAUCUGGUAAGUUACAACAUUUGAACAUUAACCAUUUUUGAAGAUGUUAACAGUCUAAUCUUGUAGGAAAACCAGCCGACUUAACUGAUAAUAACAAUCCAGAUUGGGUUCCUUCAAUAAAUAUGGGGUAUAUAAACACAAUGAAAUGAGUUCCCCAAAAUCUAAAAUGGGAAUUAAGGUACCAAAGGAGAAUUAAAAGAAAAGGGUACCUACAAGAAAAAAUUGCUUUUUUAUUCCUCUUGAAAUGAUUUAUAAGACACUGGACUGUCUUAUAUUCUACAAAUACUAGAAUCAGCUGAGAGAAGUGGUCUACAAAAACCCAGGAAGGAAACGGAAUAUGUGGCUACGAAAGGCAAAAGAAAGGUUUACAAAGCAAAUGUGACACAUUUUUUUGAAAUAUUUAGGAAUAUCAGUAAAUUGCAUUAAAAAAAUGUAUGAAAAGAUUUUGUUCAAUAAAAAUGUUUAUAUUUA